rnacentral:lncRNA from 1 species
CUGGUAGUCGGAAGUGAUGACGUGGCAUCAAGCUAUUGUAUAGGCGUGUUGAUGGGACGCCUGGCUGGCAGAAGGGAAGGAAGUCGGGGGGCUCGUGUAGUCGCCAGUUAUUAAGUUGGCGUGCUCCGAUCUCCAGCACACCAGAACCGGCGGUCACCGGGUUAAAGAUGAAGUCGCCAGAUGUAAACCCAGGCGACCAAGUGAUUAGAGAUCGCCGAAACAAGGACAUCGCCG